GCUGUUCAGUGAUGAGAUCAUGGAAUAUGCACUGGGCACAGUGCCUGAUAAUAAAUGAGGAGUCGUUCCAUGCUGCCUUCCUUCUGAGACCAGC
ensembl:snoRNA